UGACCUCGGAUCAGACGUGAUUACCCGCUGAAUUUAAGCAUAUUUAUUUAAGCGGAGGAAAGAAACUAACAAGGAUUCCCCUAGUAACGGCGAGUGAACGGGGAAGAGCCAACACCGAAUCCUUUGGCGCAAGUCAACGGGAAAAUGUGGUGUUAAGGUAGCCCUUCGUGUCAGUCUAGGCGUCUCAGUCCACCUGAUUGUGCUGCAAGCCCAGAGAGGUGUAAAAGGCCCGUAGAGACGCUCCGACUUGAUUUCCUGGGGUUUACCUACGAGUCGGCUUGGUUUUGGGAAUGCAGGCCAAAGCGGGUGGUAAACUCCAUCCAGGCUAAAUACUGGCACGAGUCCGAUAGCGGACAAGUACCGUGAGGGAAAGUUGAAAAGAACUUUGAAGAGAGAGUUCAAUAGUACGUGAAACCGCUUAGAGGCAACGGAUGGUGCUCAUACUGGCCUGAGGAAUUCAACUGUGACGGUGGCUGGACGAGCUGGCGUUCCGAUCUCUCUUUUGGGACGGGCGUCGGUUGGGCUAUCAGCUCUGACAUGGUUGCACUUUCCUUGGUGUGCCUCCGCCACGACCGACGACACUGGCUACCCGCGCUGGGGUAAGGUGACAAACUGCUUCGGCAAUUUGAUGUUAUAGACCCCGGCGUCGGACAUGGUUUUGGCCAGGACGUCGAGCUUGCGGCGCCCGCUGCCUUGUGGGCUCGCAUGUUGGCUAGCUUGGCUGCGCCGAAUGCUUGCACUGGACAACCAGUACAGGUGACGGUUGUUGGUCUUGUCUCUAGUUGGCCUCUGCGAGUUUGGCGCCUAUAGUCUGUGGUGUACUUGUGGGUAAGACUAUCCGACCGUCUUGAAACACGGACAAAGGAGUCUAACAUGUGCGCGAGUCAUGGGAUUCUACGAAACCAAAGGCGCAGUGAAAGUAAAGGCCUGCUUCUCGUACGGCUGAGGUGGGAUCUCGUGCAUCGCGAAUUGGCGAGCGCGCACCACCGGCCCGUCCUAUCUGUCUCUGUCAGUGGGGCGGCGCAAGAGCGUACACGUUGGGACCCGAAAGAUGGUGGAACUAUGCUUGCGGCAGCUCGAAGUCAGUGAAAACACUGAUGGAGGAGCGCAGCGUUUCUGACGUGCAAAUCGAUCGUCAAACGUGAGUAUAGGGGCGAAAGACUAAUCGAACCAUCUAGUAGCUGGUUCCCUCGAAGUUUUCCCUCAGGAUAGCUGGCACUCGGGAAACAGUUUUAUCCGGUAAAGCGAAUGAUUAGAGGCAUUGGGGUCGAAACGACUUCGACCUAAUUUCAAACUUUAAAUGGUAAGAUGCUCGUCUCGCUUAAUUGGAGGCGGGCUUCACCUCUCUAAAACGUGAAUGUGAGUGCCCAGUGGGCCAUUUUGGUAAGCAGAAACUGGCGCUGUGGGAUGAACCAAAGCCGCGGUUAAGGCGCCCAAUGCGGACGCUCAAUGAGACACCACAAAAGGUGUUGGUCGAUACUGAACAGCAGGACGGUGGCCAUGGAAGUCGGAACCCGCUAAGGAGUGUGUAACAACUCACCUGCCGAAUCAACCAGCCCUGAAAAUGGAUGGCGCUGGAGCGUCGGGCCUAUUACCGUGCCGUUGGGGCGAAGCAGACAAAUAAUCUGUGUGGAUGUCCCAACGAGUAGGAGGGUCGCGCGUGGUGAGGGGCAGAAGGUGCGGCCGUGAGGCCGCUGGAGCCGCCACGGGCGCAGAUCUUGGUGGUAGUAGCAAUUACUCAAGUGAGAACCUUGAGGACUGAAGUGGAGAAGGGUUCGCAUGUGAACAGCAGUUGAACAUGGGUCAGGCGGUCCUAAGCGAUCGGGUAACUCCGUACCUAGACGAGGGUGACAACUAUCACUUGAUAAUACUUGUGAAGUGUUAUAGCCCUCCGGAGCGAAGGGAAUCGUGUUAAUAUUCACGACCUUACCGUGGAGAUCGCCCCUUUCGGGGGCAAGUGCGGUAACGCAAAACGAACACAGAGACGUCGCUGAAAGCCCCGGGAAGAGUUCUCUUUCUUUGUAAGGAGCGUACCCCCUGGAAUCGGCUUGUCCGGAGAUAGGGGCGUGGCUUCUCGUAAAGCAGCGCGGGUUUGCGCUUGCGCUGUCGGUGCACUCUAGUCGGCCCUUGAAAAUCUGUGGGAGACAGUUGUGAUUUUCACGGUAGGCCGUACCAUAUCCGCAGCAGGUCUCCAAGGUGAAACAGCCUCUAGUCCUAGAACAAUGUAGGUAAGGGAAGUCGGCAAAAAUGGAAUUCGUAACUUCGGGAAAAGGAUUGGCUCUGAGGGCUGGGUCGGAAUGGGCUGGCGUAAGGAAGCUGUUCCGGUUUUGGUGAGGACUGGCGAGGCUUUGGGCUUUACUCGACCAUGCCGAGACCAGGCAGUAGACGACGUCAGCUGUGCUUGUCGUGUUUUCGGCGGGGCAGCUUCGUCCGGCAACAAACAGCCAACUCAGAACUGGCACGGAACUAGGGGAAUCCGACUGUCUUAAUUAAAACAAAGCAUUGCGAUGGCUGUUGCUUCGUGUUGACGCAAUGUGAUUUCUGCCAAGUGCUCUGAAUGUCAAUGUGAAGAAAUUUCAAUCAAGCGCGGCUAAACGGCGGAGUAACUAUGACUCUCUUAAGGUACCCAAAUGCCUCGGUCAUCUAAUUAGUGACGCGCAUGAAUGGAUUUAACGAGAUUCCACUGUCCCUAUCUACUAAUCUAGCGAAACCACAGCCCCAAGGAGGACGGGCUUGGCAUGAAUCAGCGGGGAAAAGAAGACCUGAUUGAGCUGACUCUAGUCGCGACUUUGUGAAAGAGAACAUGAGAGGUGUAGUAUAGGUGGGAGCGUCAGCGACUUUGAAAUACCACUACUUUAUCGUUUCUUUACUUAUUCAGUGAAGCGGGAGCGGCCUUCACGGGCCUCGUUUCUGGUGUUAAACGGCUGGCCCUCGGCGGCCGUGACCUGCUCUGAAGACAGUGUCAGGCGGGGAGUUUGACUGGGGCGGUACAUCUGUCAAAAGGUAACGCAGGUGUCCAAGAUGAGCUCAGUCAGGACAGAAAACUGGCGUUAGAGCAAAAAGGGCAAAAGCUCAUUUGAUUUUGAUUUUCAGUACGAAUACAGACCGUGAAAGCGGCGGCUAUCGAUCCCUUUGAUUAAUCAGAGUUUGAUGCAAGGGGUGUCAGAAAAAAGUUACCACAGGGAUAACUGGCUUGUGCGGCCAAGCGUUCAUAGCGACGUCGCUUUUUGAUCCUUCGAUGUCGGCUCUUACCUAUCAUUGUGAAGCAGAAUUCACCAAGCGUUGGAUUGUUCACCCACCAAUAGGGAACGGUGAGCUGGGUUUAGACCGUCGUGAGACAGGUUAGUUUUAGCCCUACUGAUGUCUUGUCGUUGCUAUGGUAAUCCUGCUUAGUACGAGAGGAACCGCAGGUUCAGACAUUUGGUUUAUGUGCUUGGUCGAAAGAACCAAUGGUGCGAAGCUACCAUCUGAGGGAUUAAGACUGAAAGCCUCUUAAGUCUGAAUCCCGCCCAGAAAUGCAACGAUACUAUCGUGCCCCUACGCCGGGAGGCAACGAUAUACUCGCCCCGAAAUCCGAUUUCGGCGGCCGAGACUGGCUAAAGCAACUGCGAUACUGGCCACACCCGCUGUCUUGAAAUUUGGCAGUGGAGGCACAGACACGAUACCACUUUGAUUGAGACGUAGGGGUUCUAUAUCGUUUGUAGACGACUUAGAUCUCGGUCGGGUGCCGUACUUAGUUGAGGCAGUUCUUCACUGCGAUCUAUUGAGGCUAAGCCUUUUGACGGGGAGAUAUGU
rfam:Macrostomum lignano unitig_33395, whole genome shotgun sequence.